CACCACNGGNGGUGGUUUCGUUCGAAGACGGUGCGCUAACCCGCAAGGGAGGCAGCCGGCCACGGUAGGGUCAGCGACUGGGGUG
rnacentral:rRNA from 1 species